CAUCGCCCCUUGUAAAAUCACAAUCUCAUAAAUAAGGGGUACUGCCUGCCCAGUGACUUAAAAUUCAACGGCCGCGGUAUCUUGACCGUGCAAAGGUAGCAUAAUAAUUUGCUCUUUAAUUAAGGGCUAGUAUGAAAGGCAAGACGAAGGCUUAACUGUCUCCCUCUUAAAAAAAGAAAUUAAUAUCUUAGUGAAGAAGCUAAAAUAAAAAUGCAAGACGAGAAGACCCUGUCGAGCUUAAGAAAUUUUUUAUACCAAAAAUGAAAAAGCUAAUUAUAUUAAAAUACUCUUUUAUAUAAUAAUAAUAAAAAUAUCUUUGGUUGGGGCAACCACGAAGAAAAAAUAACCUUCGAUUCUUACAAAAAAUAAACAAAUUUAAAAGUUUUUUAAACUCUUCAGAUCCGGUAAUUACCGAUCAAAGAAAAAAGUUACCGCAGGGAUAACAGCGUUAUUCUCUUUAAGAGCUCGUAUUGACAAGAGAGUUUGCGACCUCGAUGUUGGACCGGGGCACCCAAGAGAUGCAGAAGUCUCUAAAGGUAGGUCUGUUCGACCUUUAAAGCCCUACGUGA
rnacentral:rRNA from 1 species